UAUCUGCUGGGCAAUACACACAAAGAAUGAGAAAAACAUUUUACUAAAACAACAUCUUUAGUUCAAUUUCAAUUUAAUUAUUUUACCAAAAAAGAAGUUUAUGUUGUCAGAAUUGAACUAUUGUUACAAAUGACAUCUGCAAACUAAUAUGGUUGCUUAAUAUUUGUAUCAUUUAUUGGGCAAUAUUUAACAUUUUCACUCCUCUUGAUUCAAACAACUUAAAACCAAAUUUUUUAAAUAAUUGGGUUCCACCAGGUCAAAGCUUCCUCCAUUAAUGCCAUUAAUCCAAGCACAGUAUGAUUCUGAUUUGUAUUUUCCACAUGAUCAGGUUUACAUGCUGAAGCAUAUUCCACAGUGUGGUGGUUUUGCAGUCUCUGUAAAUGAAAAUUGACCGGACUCUGCCCCCGCUGAUGUUGUAGAAAACCCACCAGUUUGUAUGUGAAGCACAUUAGCAACCCCUCCCCUGAGGCACAAAACACACAAGAAUCCACAGGAGCCCUCUACUGCAAACAGCUCAGCAGAAUCUGUGAGCAGAGGGACCGGCCAGCUAGGCCGUUUGUGUCCCCUUGGUGUGCGUCAUGAAAAAGAGCUAAAAAGAAAAACCCAGGAUGGUUGACAGAACGGUUCAUCAAUUCUCUCAUGGGAAAUGAUAGUCUUGCUGCAGGAAAAAUCACAGGAGCAGUCAAUGACUUGAGGAGAAGACGGCAUACAUACAGGGAUGAAGCAACAACAAGCAUUGAAUUCAUUGAGCAGCACAUCAGAGAACUUCUCCACAGACGGGGAUCAUGGGAGAUGAUCAUUUAGGCUGAGGCUACUGACAUCAUCAUAAUUUGUUUCACACAGGAAGAUCAUCGGUGGCACACCGCUUCCUACCUCCAUUUUCUGUGAAAAGAAUCAUUGGCUUCUCUGCAAAAAACCACCAAAUGCAAACAGCGGCGGCAGCCUAAAGGGAUCCGUCAUGAUUAGAAAGAAGCUAUAUUUCCAAAACAAAAGCCCACUGGAGACACAGAAGGGAGGCUGUGGCGCUCGCUGUUGAUAUUGUUCCAUGAGAUGGCUCCACCAGAGAAAGUCCUCCCUCUGAGCUGCCAGGCAUGGCUAUUCGUAGGAAGGGGGGGUCCUGGGGAUAAGAGACCGCCCUGUUAUCUCUGUGUAAAAGGUUACUCAGGUCUGGUGGCGGAAGAAGCAAAAGAAAUGGCCAUCUGUGUUUUCCACGCUCACUGUCCCCGCUAUCUAGAGCGUGGAGUGAAGACUCAGCGAUAUCACAUCAGUCACUCUUAUCUGCAAAUGUUGGUAAUACUAUGAAGAAUGCAUUGUAGAAGAAAUUGGAAAACCCCCUGAUAUGUUUUCUCGCUUGUACUGCAUGUGCCAAGUAUUAUUGUUUUUAUAACACAUACAAUUCAUGUACCUGUAAUUGCUGCUGUAAAAACGUAUCAGAGGUUUGAGUUAUGUUUGGUGUUAGUAUUGUGUUCUGA